rnacentral:rRNA from 1 species
UAGGGAAUAUUGGACAAUGGGGGCAACCCUGAUCCAGCCAUGCCGCAUGAGUGAAGAAGGCCCUCGGGUUGUAAAGCUCUUUUGUCCGGAAAGAAAAGCAUUCGGUGAAUACCCGGAUGUUCUGACGGUACCGGAAGAAUAAGCACCGGCUAACUUCGUGCCAGCAGCCGCGGUAAUACGCAGGGUGCAAGCGUUACUCGGAAUUACUGGGCGUAAAGCGUGCGGAGGUGGUUGUUUAAGUCUGAUGUGAAAGCCCUGGGCUCAACCUGGGAAUGGCAUUGGAAACUGGGCAGCUAGAGUGCGGUAGAGGGUAGGGGAAUUCCCGGUGUAGCAGUGAAAUGCGUAGAGAUCGGGAGGAACAUCUGUGGCGAAGGCGACUGCCUGGACCAGCACUGACACUGAGGCACGAAAGCGUGGGGAGCAAACA